rnacentral:lncRNA from 1 species
UUGAAAAAUAAUUAUCCAACUUUUAUAAGAUUAUAUUUUAUUUUAGAAAAAUAUUUUCCUUUUAAAACAAUAGUAUUAUUACAUAUUAUUUUUAUUCUUACAUGAUUAUUUCCUCACAAUACUAAUUUACUCAGUUUGCAAUCCGAGGGAUUACACUAGGAGUAGUAUUAUCCAAAGAUGAUGAUUCAAUACACCAACAUCUACCGCUGUAACAACCCGUAUAAUAUAUAUCUAGAAUAAUAUCAUACAAGUGUUAAAUUUUGGUACUGUCACAACAUAAGUGCCUAAUGGCAUCAAUAUAUAUACAUGUCCAAACUAAAAGCAUCAAUGGAACAUGUUAUACAAUAAUGCCUAAACAAUAAAAUCUAAGAACUAUGUGCAACAUCUUCAUUGCACACCACUCCACAGCGGAAGAUCAUAAUGAACAGCAACCCUUGAAACAUC